GAACUACCACACACCAAGGUUAAGGGCCCAAAAUCCUCUAUACCCAAUCAACUUUCAUUGUGACCACAAGCCACCGCCAUUUCCUCAUACAGUUCAACCGUGUCUCAACAAAGCUUCUCACUCUCCCAGCUCGAGGCAUAGCAAUCAGCAAAGGGAGUCAUUUUAAUACUAUUCUCGGUUAAAGCAGAGCAUGGGAAGAAGCAAAAAAACAUAGCAAUUGAAUAAAACCUCAAAUGGAGAAAUGAAGGUGACUGGAAGCUGCAACACACAAGACCCUCCUGCAGUCAACUAUCACGCUUGGCUCAAGGAGGAGAGCAAGACACCAACAAUAAAUGGAAGCCACCGCAAGAGAGAAAGGGGGUGAGAAUUUUUACUUCUGUAAAGGGAGAAAAGGGAAUUGCAAGGAGAAAAACUUGUUGUAAUUUUCAGGGCUUGAAGAAUUUAGCUGUAUUUUGGCACUGAGCUAUUAAUAGUAGGCAACACUGAUCUUAAUUAUCUGUGUAAGUGUAAGUUCUCAUUGUGCAAUCUCUAUGUGAGGAAUAUGUUCCAUGUGAUUGAUUCUUCUGAUUUUCCCUGAAUCAUCCUCCCUUUUUUUUUUUUUUUAUUGCUUUUGAGUUGUUAUUAGUUUUGGUUUGUUUGUUGUUUGCUACUAUUGCGAUUUAUUCGGUUAUUGCCAGUUACUUGUUUGAUAAAUAUCUAGACUAGUUGAUUUGGCUAAACCUCAGGUCUUCAACACUGUCCUUUGAUUGAUUGUGUAUAUGUUCUCUGUAUGUCUGAGUUGAA
rnacentral:lncRNA from 1 species